rnacentral:misc_RNA from 1 species
GAUGAAGAACGCAGCGAAAUGCGAUACGUAAUGUGAAUUGCAGAAUUCAGUGAAUCAUCGAAUCUUUGAACGCAUAUUGCGCUCUCUGGUAUUCCGGAGAGCAUGCUUGUUUGAGUAUCAGUAAACACCUCAACUUCCAUAUCUUUUUUGAAAUGGGAGUUGGACUUGAGUGAUCCCAACGCUUUUCCUCACCGAAAAGUGGCGGGUUACUUGAAAUGCAGGUGCAUCUGGACUUUUCUCUGAGCUAUAAGCAUAUCUAUUUAGUCUGCCUAAAAAACAGAUUAUUACCUUUGCUGCAGCUAACAUAAAGGAGAUUAGUUCUUGUGCUGACUGAUGCAGGAUUCACAAAGACAGGCUUCGGCCGACUUUGUAAACUCGAUCUCAAAUCAAGUAAGACUACCCGCUGAACUUAAGCAUAUCAAUAAGCGGAGGA